rnacentral:rRNA from 1 species
UACGUAGGGUGCAAGCGUUGUCCGGAAUUAUUGGGCGUAAAGAGCUCGUAGGCGGUUUGUCGCGUCGAAUGUGAAACCCGGGGCUCAACCCCGGGCCUGCAUUCGAUACGGGCAGACUAGAGUUCGGUAGGGGAGUCUGGAAUUCCUGGUGUAGCGGUGAAAUGCGCAGAUAUCAGGAGGAACACCGGUGGCGAAGGCGGAUCUCUGGGCCAUUACUGCGCUGAGGAGCGAAAGCGUGGGGAGCGAACAGG